AGAAGUCGAUGGUUAUCUUGCGACGAAGAGGAGGAAGCCGCAUCAUCAAGAGGCGGUUGCAUUGGUCGAGAUGCAUUGGCCAAUAUAUAAAGGUGGACAGAGUGAAAGAGUGUGUGUGUGUGUGUGUAUGAGAGAGAGAGAGAGAAGAGAGCCAGAAGAAAGGUGUAUCGCGGCCACUAUCUACGUAAUAUAUCGGAAAUGAACAACGACGGAGAGGAAGAGGGCACAACAACGACGACGACGAUGACGACGACGACGACACCGACGACGACGGGGAAGUUGCUUUGAAUACAUAGACGAGAAAGCGACACGAUAGGAAUAUUAAUUAAGUAAGAUCGCAUCAGGUACGUCACUGGCAGCUAAUUAGUGAGAGGAUUUGCGUAUUCUUCGUCAAAGUGCAUCGCGAAGAAAGCUAACGAAAAAAAAAAAAAAAUAAAAAAUACAAAAAAAAUAAAGAAAAAGAAACGAGAUCUCCGCGUGAUUAAAUAUUGUGAACAAUCGUGUUUGAUCCGUAA
rnacentral:lncRNA from 1 species